CAAACUCGAUUGGGUCUGUGAGCCCUAGAAGCUGGGGUGGAACUCCUCGGAAAGCCCUGGUUCCUGUGGAAAGGAAUCAAGGGGUUAUCCGCUUGCAGGGUGUUUUGAGGCUGGUGGCUGGAGAAUUGCAUUAACAGGUGGAGGUUAGAGAAGAACCUCCUGAAGUCAUCUGUCCUUCCACCAGGUGGUGGAUCCCAGGUCAUCAGGCUUAGAACCAGGCAUCUUUACCUGCUGGACCAUCUCACCAGCCUUUCAUCAUCGGAUGUGCAAUUUAUGACAACCAGAAGUUCCUGUGAUCAUGACCUACAACUCCUUCACUUGAAGUUGACACCCAUUGGCUGCUCUGCUACAUGGAGUUCUACACCAUUGCCUAAGUUCCUGGAUAAAGGUGCCACAUGAAGUUUUCAGAGAAAGCAGAACCUCUUAGAAAUCUGAAAGACAGCAAUCCUUAUUACCAUCAAGACAACACAAAGCUGAUUGAACUGGAUGGCCAGAGGAGGCUUGUAUCCUGGAGGCUUUGAAAAGGUUCAAAGUAGACACCAUAGUUCAGUGACCAUGUUCCCAGCCCUCAGCAAAUGAACCCCACUGGCUGCUCUUCUCCUAGCCUCCAUCAUGCUUCUGGAUGCUCACACACUCUGGCUCUACAAUCAACCAUGGUCUACAGAUUUCCUUGGAGCUGUGAGGACCCUUCUUAUCAGUUCAUUUCAGUG